rnacentral:rRNA from 1 species
CAAAGGCUUGGUCCUGACUUUACUAUCAACUUUAGCUAAACUUACACAUGCAAGUAUCCGCACCCCUGUGAGAAUGCCCUACAGUUCCCUGCCCGGGAACAAGGAGCUGGUAUCAGGCACAUUAAAUUAAGCCCACGACACCUUGCUUAGCCACACCCCCAAGGGAACUCAGCAGUGAUAAACAUUAAGCCAUAAGUGAAAACUUGACUUAGUCAAAGCUAAGAGGGCCGGUAAAACUCGUGCCAGCCACCGCGGUUAUACGAGAGGCCCAAGUUGAUAGCCCCCGGCGUAAAGAGUGGUUAAGAUAACCUGAAUACUAAAGCCGAAUACCCUCAAAGCUGUUAUACGCACCCGAGAGUAAGAAGAACAAUCACGAAAGUGGCUUACAACAC